rnacentral:rRNA from 1 species
UUGGCGGACGGGUGAGUAACGCGUGGAAAACCUGCCGUAUACUGGGGGAUAACACUUAGAAAUUGGUGCUAAUACCGCAUAAGCGCACAGCUUCGCAUGAAGCGGUGUGAAAAACUCUGGUGGUAUACGAUGGUUCCGCGUCUGAUUAGCUAGUUGGUGGGGUAAUGGCCUACCAAGGCAACGAUCAGUAGCCGGCCUGAGAGGGUGAACGGCCACAUUGGGACUGAGACACGGCCCAAACUCCUACGGGAGGCAGCAG